rnacentral:rRNA from 1 species
UCCGCCUGGGGACGGGUCCGCGUCCUAUUAGCUUGUUGGUGAGGUAACGGCUCACCAAGGCGACGAUGGGUACCGGGUGUGAGAGCAUGGCCCGGCUCACUGGGACUGAGACACUGCCCAGACACCUACGGGUGGCUGCAGUCGAGAAUCUUCGGCAAUGGACGCAAGUCCGACCGAGCGACGCCGCGUGCGGGAUGAAGGCCUUCGGGUUGUAAACCGCUGUCAGAGGGGAGGAAAUCCUGUGGGGUUCUCUCCACAGGUUGACCUAUCCUCAGAGGAAGUACGGGCUAAGUUCGUGCCAGCAGCCGCGGUAAGACGAACCGUACAAACGUUAUUCGGAAUCACUGGGCUUAAAGGGUGCGUAGGCGGCCCUGCAAGUUGGGUGUGAAAGCCCUCGGCUCAACCGAGGAAUUGCGCCCAAAACUGCGGGGCUUGAGGGAGACAGAGGUGAGCGGAACUUAGGGUGGAGCGGUGAAAUGCGUUGAUAUCCUGAGGAACACCUGUAGCGAAAGCGGCUCACUGGGUCUCUUCUGACGCUGAGGCACGAAAGCUAGGGGAGCGAACGGGAUUAGAUACCCCGGUAGUCCUAGCUGUAAACGUUGAGCACUUGGUCGGAGAGUCCUCCAUAGCUUUCCGGUCGCAGCGAAAGUGAUAAGUGCUCCGCCUGGGGAGUAUGGUCGCAAGGCU